UUUAAAUCUUGAACAGGUCUUGCUAAGCUGCUGAGGCUGGCCUUGAACUUGUGACUCUCUGACCUCACCCUCCCCAGUACUUGGGAUCAUAGAUGUGCACCACUGUGCCUGGCUUGAAAUAAAUUAAAAAAAAAAAAAAAGAUCAAAUACAUCAUGAGUCCUGAUUCCCAAACUGGGAAGCAACCCAGAUGUCCUUCAACAGGACAUGAAUCAUCCCUGGGUCCAGUGUAUCCACACGGUAUAUGCUACCCACUGGUUAGUCACUUAAUCACCAUUGUGAUGAUCAGAUUCCCUGUCAUGGCAUUGCAGUGCUUGUGCUUGAAUACUCUGUGCCACAAUGCCUACUUCAUUCACCACCCCCCCCUUCAUCUUGUCACUAGCCAUUGUCUCGUCACACAUCAUCACAAGAAGGGUGAGCACAGUAAAGAUAUUUUGAGAGACCACAUUCAUAUCACUUUUAUUACAGUCUGUUGUUCUGAUUGUUCUACUUUAUUAUUAGUUAUUACUGUUAAUUUCUUAUUGUGCCUAAUUUAUAAGUUAUUCAUUUACAAAUUAAACUCUAUCAUAGGCAUUCAUGGG
rnacentral:lncRNA from 1 species